CCGCCCAUGCGCAGACUGUCCCCUCUACUUCUCGUGACCAUACGGGCGGACAUCGACCAAUAUAUCGAUAUCUAGGCAGAUGUGGAUGACCCAAGGCCCCUCACAGACUACCCUAAGGCACUCUUGGAGGGCAGACGGAGCGUUGCCAUGGUGCUUCUCUGGGUGCAACAAGCCAUAGCCGCAAACAUUAGCUGAACAUGAAGGAGACCACUUAAGGACAUCAGGACUGUUUUAAGCUGCAUGCCCAAAACUGCAACAUCAGCACUAUUGGAUGAACUGGAACAGAGACACAAGAUCUUCAAUGCAUCAUCUAGUCUAUUGCAAGCUCUGUAGGGAGACUUGAAAUCAACUCAUGUUUACCACAGCCAUUCUUAGAUUGAAAGGGAAUAUACUUUAUUAACAUAAUAAAAGAUCAUGUGUGUUCACUAUUAAUUGAAAUGAUAGUAGUAAGACAGAUAUGUUAUUUGACUUCCACAGUAUUUAUUAUUUAUUGUUUCAAUUGAACCCUAUUGUAAAUUUCUGCUAACAUUUAAACACUCUAAGCGUUAUGUCAAAUAAAAUGAAUUGUUGAUAUUUGUGCAUUUUUAUAGUUGAACAAUAUAUAUUUCUAAUAUUGUUUUUGCUAUCGUAUUUUCUACUUGUAUACCAGUCACUUUUAAAGAUAAGAAUU